ACAAAAUCUACGCGCGAAAAAUUGUGGUUUUGGAGAUUGCUCCGAUGAGAAAUGGGAUGAAUUCAGGGUUCGAAAUUAUCGGCUCACGAAUCCGACAUCCAAGCAAUCAGGUGCAUCUUCAGCUUGCAUUAGCUUUUUGCUCGUGGAGAUUAAAUGAAAUUUACGGGUAAAGCCUAUGAGCACUAUGAUUCAGAAAUGGACCAACUUGAAGGAUGAGGAACCAAAACCGCGUGCCAGCCUCAUGCUAAGUUCAAUCUGAGCCAUUUACUUGUUUCCAUCCAGAGAACAAUUGAGCAGAGAUCAGCAAGGAAUGGAAGGACGUGAAUGAAUGGGUAUAGAGAGAAGAGGUUUAGAUGGAAACAAACCAGUGGCACAGCAUUGCCUCGAGUAUUCGUUCCUAUAUAUUAUAGACUAUAAUGCUAAGUCCUUGGGCGUACUAAGUGCAUAAUGCAUACAUUUAAUUAUACUUUUUUUUACUCAUCAACAAAUUUUCGUAAAUUAUUUUUAUUU